rnacentral:rRNA from 1 species
AGAGUUUGAUCCUGGCUCAGGAUGAACGCUGGCGGUAUGCGUAACACAUGCAAGUCGAACGAAGUUUUUCGGAACUUAGUGGCGGACGGGUGAGUAACGCGUGAGAAUCUGCCUUCAGGUUCGGGACAACCACUGGAAACGGUGGCUAAUACCGAAUGUGCAGCAAUGUGAAAAAUUUAUUGCCUGAAGAUGAGCUCGCGUCUGAUUAGCUAGUAGGUGUGGUAAGAGCGCACCUAGGCGACGAUCAGUAGCUGGUCUGAGAGGAUGAUCAGCCACACUGGGACUGAGACACGGCCCAGACUCCUACGGGAGGCAGCAGUGGGGAAUUUUCCGCAAUGGGCGAAAGCCUGACGGAGCAAGACCGCGUGAGGGAGGAAGGCUCUUGGGUUGUAAACCUCUUUUGUCAGGGAAGAACACAAUGACGGUACCUGAAGAAUCAGCAUCGGCUAACUCCGUGCCAGCAGCCGCGGUAAUACGGGGGAUGCAAGCGUUAUCCGGAAUUAUUGGGCGUAAAGCGUCCGCAGGUGGCUAAUCAAGUCUGCUGUCAAAGAUUGGGGCUUAACCCCAAAAAGGCAGUGGAAACUGAGAAGCUAGAGUGCAGUAGGGGUAGAGGGAAUUCCCGGUGUAGCGGUGAAAUGCGUAGAGAUCGGGAAGAACAUCGGUGGCGAAAGCGCUCUACUGGACUGCAACUGACACUCAGGGACGAAAGCUAGGGGAGCGAAUGGGAUUAGAUACCCCCGUAGUCC